AAUAUAUAAUAUAGUAUAAUAUUACUAUAAUAUAAUAUAAUAAUAUUAUUAUAUAGUAUAGCAUAAUAAUAUAAUAUAGUUUGAUAUUAUAAACAUAACAUAUCAAUAUAUUAUGAUAUAAUAUUAUAUUUAUAGUAUAAUAUAAUAAUAAAGAUAUAAAAUAUUAUAUUUUCUAGUUAUUUUGGUCCAAAAAAAUUUAUAAAUCAAAACAGCUUUCCAACGUAUGCUAAAAGUGUUUUUCUGAAUAAUCUCUAUUUUGGAGUUUUUUUCUAAAAGCUGUUUUAGCUUUCUUGCAAAGCUAUAAACAUCCUUAUUCCAUCCAAUAGUACUUUUGGAGAAUCAGAAAGUAUUUUCUGGUCUACCAAAACCUCUGCCAAACGGAGCCUAAGUUAACCUUGGCUUUUUUUUAUUAAAUUAACAUGUCUUCUCUUGGACUAGCAUAUUAGAUUCUCCAAGAGAUUAUCAGAAAGAAGCUAUCCAUGACCAGGAAAACGAUAAAGAUAAGAUCAAAAUGUCUUAAAUGAGUUGUUGUUCUUCGAUCAGGAAAGCUCGUUAAAUGCCUGUGCUCCCUUA
rnacentral:lncRNA from 1 species